GGAUUCCCUCAGUAACGGCGAGUGAACAGGGAACAGCCCAGUACCGAAGCCUAUGCACGCUUGUGUAUAAGGCAAUGUGGUAUUAAGAUGGUUGCCUGGAGCGGUCGGUCUAUUCUAAGUCCAGCAUAGAUUAUGGCUCUGGAUCUUGUCCAUAGCGGGUGGAAGACCCGUUUGAAUAGACCUUCAGGCAUGUUGACCGUUCUCAGAUGCAACCAUCGUGGAGUCGGAUAGCUUGAGAAUGCUGUCCAAAGUGGGUGGUAAACUCCAUCCAAGGCUAAAUAUUUGCACGAGUCCGAUAGUUGACAAGUACCGUGAGGGAAAGUUGAAAAGUACUCUGAAGAGAGAGUAAAUAGUACGUGAAGCCGCAUGUAGGGAAGCUGGUGGAGUCAAGCUGCAUGCCUUUAGAAUGAAGCCAGUGACUGUUGUUCACAUGGUUGAGGUGGUUCAUUGAUUACCUUGUAAGAAGGUAGACAGACUUGUCUGUUUCCAGUGGGCACUGGUCAGUGUCUCGGAGUCGAUGAAUUCGUCCUCUAUGUUACUGGCGUACUUUCUCUAUGGCAGACAUCACGAUCGACAAUGUUGUUGGCGUGUCGCAGUCAAACCAUGAGUUUUUGGAUUUUCAAUCCAUGGCUUGUGGGACGGCAGGUGACCAGUCGUGCAGUCUCGUUACUGUACGGUCGGUUUAUUGUGGUCGAGGCCAGCUGUCUGCGAUGCUUUGUCUAGCUAUACAAUUUGUCUGUUGCUCACUGUUGCCCUGAUUGAUUGCUCUCGUCUCAUUGUUCACAAUGGUGGGUUUCCAUCUCUGAUGGUGCUUGCCAAUUGUCGGCCUCUGCGGAUGAAUAGUGAUCAGUCAGUGUGUAUGAAUCGUGGUGUUGUGGUAGAC
rnacentral:rRNA from 1 species